UGGGGAAUCUUGGACAAUGGACGCAAGUCUGAUCCAGCCAUGCCGCGUGCGGGAAGAAGGCCUUCGGGUUGUAAACCGCUUUUGUCAGGGAAGAAACGAGUUUCUCUAAUACAGAGACUUAAUGACGGUACCUGAAGAAUAAGCACCGGCUAACUACGUGCCAGCAGCCGCGGUAAUACGUAGGGUGCAAGCGUUAAUCGGAAUUACUGGGCGUAAAGCGUGCGCAGGCGGUUAUGUAAGACAGAUGUGAAAUCCCCGGGCUCAACCUGGGACCUGCAUUUGUGACUGCAUAGCUAGAGUACGGCAGAGGGGGAUGGAACUCCGCGUGUAGCAGUGAAAUGCGUAGAUAUGCGGAGGAACACCGAUGGCGAAGGCAAUCCCCUGGGCCUGUACUGACGCUCAUGCACGAAAGCGUGGGGAGCAAACA
rnacentral:rRNA from 1 species